rnacentral:misc_RNA from 1 species
GAAAUGCGAUAAGUAAUGUGAAUUGCAGAAUUCAGUGAAUCAUCGAAUCUUUGAACGCAACUUGCGCUCUCUGGUAUUCCGGAGAGCAUGCCUGUUUGAGUGUCAUGAAAUCUCAACCAUUAGGGUUUCUUAAUGGCUUGGAUCUGGACGUGUGGCAGUUUACUGCCUCGUCUUAAAAGAGUUAGCAAGUUAACUAUUGCUGUCUGGCGUAAUAAGUUUCGCUGGGUAUGCAUUGUGAAGCGUGCUUCUAAUCGUCUUCGGACAAUUACUUUGACUCUGGCCUCAAAUCAGGUAGGACUACCCGCUGAACUUAA